AGAGUUUGAUCCUGGCUCAGGACGAACGCUGGCGGUGUGCUUCACACAUGCAAGUCGAACGGUAGCAAUACAGUGGCGGACGGGUGAGUAACGCGUGGGAAUCUGCCCUGGGGUGGGGGAUAGCAGACCGAAAGGUCUAUUAAUACCGCAUAUGCCGAAAGGUAAAAGGAGUAAUCCGCCCGAGGAUGAGCCUGCGUCCGAUUAGCUAGUUGGUGGGGUAAAAGCCUACCAAGGCUACGAUCGGUAGCUGGUCUGAGAGGAUGAUCAGCCACAAUGGGACUGAGACACGGCCCAUACUCCUACGGGAGGCAGCAGUGGGGAAUUUUACGCAAUGGGCGAAAGCCUGACGUAGC
rnacentral:rRNA from 1 species